UAGUAAAAAUUUCAUCCAUUUCUACUGUUAAAAACUUGGUUUGUUGACAAAAUAACCAGACAAUUAUACAUGGCGUGCCAUGUGUACUUCAUUGUGACAUACAUGGACUAAUUUUUUAACGGUAAAAAUAGAUGGAAUUUUUAACA
rfam:Gossypium hirsutum cultivar TM-1 unplaced genomic scaffold scaffold477.1, whole genome shotgun sequence